rnacentral:rRNA from 1 species
AGUGAACGCUGGCGGCAGGCCUAACACAUGCAAGUCGAGCGGAGCGGCGGACGGGUGAGCAAUGCCUAGGCCUCUGCCCGGUCGUGGGGGUAAACGUCCGGAAACGGGCGCAAAUACCGCAUACUAUAAGAUGAGCUUAGGUCGGAUUAGCUAGUUGGUGGGGUGAAGGCCUACCACGGCGACGCUCCGUAUCUGGUCUGAGAGGAUGAUCGGUCACACUGGAGCUGAGACACGGGCCAGACUCCUACGGAAGGCAGCUGGGGAAUAUUGGACAAUUGGCGAAAGCCUGAUCCAGCCAUGCCACGUUUGUGUAGAAGGUCUUCGGAUUGUUAAGCACUUUAAGUUGGGAGGCGUUACCAACAGAAUAAGCACCGGCUAACUUCGUGCCAGCCGCCGCGGUAAUAC